rnacentral:antisense_RNA from 1 species
GUAUUUACUGGAAGGAGAAGGAUUUGUCCUGAGACAAAUAGUUUUUUCAUCUUCAGAAAUUCCUGAGAAGCUACUACCCUGUCAAGGCAUGAAAAAUUUGAUUACUGCUGACUUGGCAGCACUGAGGAGUAAAGGAAUAUUUGGGAGGAUCAGAAGCUUGGUCCUGAUUUUGCCAUCAACCAGGACCUUGAUGACUUCAAGGGAGUCCCCAAACCCUGGGUUUCUGUUUUCUCAACUCUAACAUGAGGGGCUAGACGCAUCUGGUUUAGUUCGUCUCCAUGAUCCUGUGAAUUUCAGAUGUUGAAAAUCUUCAGAAAAGCCCUGAAAGAUGAAGAGUGGUCUCAAAUAGUCAAGACCCCCUGCUGGGGGGAGCGUCUAUCCUGCUCUGUGGAAGAAAUGGGCAUGCCAGAUGCCUG